rnacentral:rRNA from 1 species
CUACGGGCUGCUGCAGUGAGGAAUAUUGCACAAUGGGGGGAACCCUGAUGCAGCAACGCCGCGUGGAGGAUGACGCAUUUCGGUGUGUAAACUCCUUUUAUAUAGGAAGAAGAUGACGGUACUAUAUGAAUAAGCGCCGGCUAACUCCGUGCCAGCAGCCGCGGUAAUACGGAGGGCGCAAGCGUUACUCGGAAUCACUGGGCGUAAAGAGCGUGUAGGCGGAUUAAAAAGUCAGAAGUGAAAUCCUAUAGCUUAACUAUAGAACUGCUUCUGAAACUCUUAAUCUAGAAUAUGGGAGAGGUAGAUGGAAUUUCUGGUGUAGGGGUAAAAUCCGUAGAUAUCACUAGGAAUACCUAAAGCGAAGGCGAUCUCCUGGAACAUUACUGACGCUAAGGCGUGAAAGCGUGGGGAGCAAACAGGAUUAGAUACCCCUGUAGUC